GAGUCUGGCAUGGAUUUUGGAGCACUAGUUGCUGCCCAUGAAACUGCUAUGGGACUUGUAGAAGAAGCUGGAGCCACAAUACCUGGUGAAAAUUCUCCCAAGCCACCAAAGUCUCCUCAUGCCCCCUCCAACGUUGAGGAAGCCAAUGGUGAAAACAAAUAUCUAGAUCAACACAAGUCAGUCAAGGGAACCUCAAAGCUCAUUGAAGAAGAAGAAAGAGAAACUGGUAAAGUGGGCCUGCAUGUGUAUAAACAAUACUGCACUGCAGCUUUUGGAUGGUGGGGUGUUAUAGCGGCAUUGUUAUUGUCAAUAAUAUGGCAAGUAUCUCUAAUGGCUGGUGAUUAUUGGUUGGCAUAUGAAACUUCAGAAGAACGGUCUGCUGUUUUUGACCCUUCUAUGUUCAUUACUGUCUAUGCAAUUAUUGCGGCUAUUUCGGUGGUGCUGUUAACGAUGAGAGCAUUUUUCAUUACAAUCAUGGGGCUUAAGACAGCUCAAAUUUUCUUUUGGGGUAUUCUUAACAGCAUCUUGCAUGCACC
rnacentral:misc_RNA from 1 species